rnacentral:rRNA from 1 species
CACGUAGGCGGCCUGGUUAGUCAGAUGUGAAAGCCCGGGGCUUAACCCCGGAAGUGCAUUUGAUACUGCCAGGCUUGAGUAUGGGAGAGGGAAGUGGAAUUCCUGGUGUAGAGGUGAAAUUCGUAGAUAUCAGGAGGAACACCGGUGGCGAAGGCGACUUCCUGGACCAAUACUGACGCUGAGGUGCGAAGGCGUGGGUAGCAAACA